rnacentral:lncRNA from 1 species
UAGUUUUUUGUAUUUUUAGUAGAGAUGGAGUUUCAUCAUGUUGGCCAGGCUGGUCUCGAACUCCUGACUUCAGGUGAUCCGCCCACCUUGGCCUCCCAAAGUUCUGGGAUUACAGGUGUGAGCCACCUCAUCCGGCCUUAUCCCAUUCUUGACACCACCAGCAUCCAACCCAAGCCCUCCUACAGACUGGCUGAUAUAGUGAGAACUCAGACUGUGGAGGCAGACAGGCCUGGACACACAUUUUGGCUCUAUCAUGUACUCACUGUUUAAUGUUAGGCAAGUUGCUCCACCUCUCUAAGCCUGUUUCUCUCUUUCUUUUUUUUCUUUUGAGAUGGAGUCUCACUCAGUUGCCUAGGCUGGGGUGCAGUGGCACAAUCUCAGCUCACUGCAACCUCCACCUCCUAGGUUCAAAAGAUUCUCAUGCCUCAGCUUCCCAAGUAGCUAGGACUACAGGCACACACCACCACACCUGGCUAUUUUUUGUAUUUUUAGUAGAGAGAGGUUUCACCAUGUUGGUCAGAUUGGUCUCAAACUCCUGACCUCAUGUGAUCCGCCCACCUCGGCCUCCCAAACUGCUGGGUUUACAGGCAUGAGCCACUGUGCCCGGCCGUUUCUCAUUUUUGAAAUGAUAAUAAUGCUUAUAUCACAGAGUGGCUGAAGUGAGAGAGAAAUGAGGCCAGGGCAUGUGCACAGAUCUGCCUGGAUCUAUGCUGUCCUGCCACGGGUCGUGUGUGUACCUACUGUGCUCGGGGCCAGCAGAUGCUCGAUAUAUGAUAGCUGUUCACAUAAAUGUUCUCGCACACAAACCUUGGCUUCUUCAAACGCCACUACAAGGAAAUGCUGGAGGACAAGCCUGAAGACACUGCCACAUUCAGUGGGGACGAUUUCAGCUGUGUGGCCCCAAAUGUGCCUUUGUCCUAAUAAUCCACUUUCCUGUUUAUCUCUACCACUGUGGGCUGGACUUGCUUGCAACCAUAAAUCAACUUACAUGGAAACAACUUCUGCAUAGAUCUGCACUGGCCUAAGCAACCUACCAGGUGCUAAGCACCUUCUCGGAGAGAUAGAGAUUGUAAUGUUUUUACAUAUCUGUCCAUCUUUUUCAGCAAUGACCCACUUUUUACAGAAGCAGGCAUGGUGCCAGCAUAAAUUUUCAUAUGCUUAAGAAUUGUCACAUGAAAUGAGGAUGUUUAUAGCACACUUUCCUUGCGUGGAAGAGCUAUAACCCAGGGACCUGAGUGCCUCUCUGGGAAUAGUCGGG